rfam:Acidovorax sp. KKS102, complete genome.
GGCAAGAGUAGAAGCGUUCACUGCGUUGUCCCUGUGCCAUCCUGCACGGGGCAAUGCCAGUCGGAAAUUGCUCUUGAA